ACAGCCGUUGCACACGAGUCAGUCGAUCCUAAGCCCGGGGCAGAGAUCCUCGUACCACGGGCGAAGGCGUUUUCGAAUGCGCCCAUGGGGACGAAAGGGAAUCCGGUU
rnacentral:rRNA from 1 species